CACGUAGGGGACGAGCGUUGUCCGGAUUCAUUGGGCGUAAAGCGCGCGUAGGCGGCUCGGAAAGUCGGUCGUGAAAUGCCGGGGCUCAACCCCGGGACUGCGUCCGAUACUUCCGGGCUGGAGGUAGGUAGGGGAGAUCGGAAUUCCUGGUGUAGCGGUGAAAUGCGCAGAUAUCAGGAGGAACACCGGUGGCGAAGGCGGUUCUCUGGGCCUGUACUGACGCUGAGGAGCGAAAGCGUGGGGAGCGAACAGG
rnacentral:rRNA from 1 species